GUUUGGGAGAACCACAGAAUUAAGGCUACACCCUGUGUGUGAGGCUCUAUGCAGACUUAGGCACAGGCCCUGGCCUCAAGGUGUUUAUUAUCUCUUUUGGGUUUAGAAUGGCAGCUGGCAGUUGUAUGCAUCAAUAAUUGAGAAGGAAAUAAGAACACAGAACUGUUCUAGUGCUUAGAAAGGGCUAUAGCUACCCAGGAAGAGAAGAGAUUCUUAUCAAUGUGAUUAAGGGAGUGGAAUUUCAGAGGAUCCUUGAAGGACAGGGAAGAUUUUGAAAGGUGGGAAGGAGCUCAUGAGGAAUUCCAGGGAAAGACUUGGGAGCAGGAAGGGAUAUUUUUGCUCCAGGAGACAAUGGGAUCUUAGUUUGGAUUCCCCAAAAGCCAACCGAGAAAGGAUUUAAAUACAAGUAGUUUACAUGGGAAGAGAUCUCAGAGCAAAAGCAAGGGACCAGGAGAGGGAAUUGGGGAGGAGGGAGAAGCAGCCAAAGAUGUGCUCAUGCGGUGCACCUCAGACCUGUGGGGGAUGACACGGUGAGGGGGCCUUCGGCUCCCACCCCCAGCAGUCACGGGUGUUAACUCCCCUCGAACUGCCAGGCGUGCCUAUGAGAGUGCCUGGUGGGUCCCUGCAGGUGUCCCUCACCUCGGCAUCAGAAAAGUCCCAGGGCAGGAAUCUAAGGUGUGCAAUGCAGGUGAAGGUGGGGUGUGUCAGAGAACACAUGCACGAAGCUGUGUGGAACUGGUUACCUCCACUGGGGCUAGAGGAGGGGGCAGGCCAACAGGAUGGGAAAUGGUGCCAAAGAGAUGUCUGGUUCAAGAAGCUGGAGGGAUCCUGCUGAAGUAAGAGCAUCUCAAGUCCCAUAGACCUGGGCAGUUCAGCUCAUGCAGAGGGGGAGAGGGGGAGGACAGGGGUGAUGUGCUGUGCUGUCUUCUCUCCACGAUUUACAAUAAAAUACUUCCAAUGGGGAAGCUGCAACGUAUGACUGCAGGGAUGGGAAGAGAGAGAUGCUUGGAGGGGAAAGCUAUGCCCCCCCUUUUGGGCACAUGCCCAGAGAGCAGGGGAGCCCCAGGGGGCAGAGGAGGCAGGGUUGAGGCUAAAUGCCAGUAUGCAGUCUGGGAAGGCAGCAUAGAAGAAUGAAGGAAGUGGAUGUUGUCCUCAAUUGAGACAAUAGAUAGUCGGUGGGCAACUUGUUCUUUCCUCUGGGUCUACUUCCUAAUGUGCAAAGUACAAAUAGGUGCACUAGUUGUACAGAUUUGUAAUCUAUUCAGAAAACUGUUGGAGGUGGUCAUCAAGAAGACAUGAGCACUGCCCAGGCCCAGCUCCAGGGUCAACCAAUUGGAGGCUCCCCAUCUCUCCCCUGUCCUUGGGAUGUAUGCUCUGCCUACAAACUCCCACAGUGGGAGCCGUUUUCAAGGCGGCGGCCUUGAGAGAGCAAGGUGUUGAGACCAUCUGGACAGUGUAUGUGACUGAA
rnacentral:lncRNA from 1 species